GACGAACGCUGGCGGCGUGCCUAUACAUGCAAGUAGAACGCUGAAGAGAGGAGCUUGCUCUUCUGGAUGAGUUGCGAACGGGUGAGUAACGCGUAGGUAACCUGCCUUGUAGCGGGGGAUAACUAUUGGAAACGAUAGCUAAUACCGCAUAACAAUGAGUGACACAUGUCAUUUAUUUGAAAGGGGCAAUUGCUCCACUACAAGAUGGACCUGCGUUGUAUUAGCUAGUAGGUGAGGUAACGGCUCACCUAGGCGACGAUACAUAGCCGACCUGAGAGGGUGAUCGGCCACACUGGGACUGAGACACGGCCCAGACUCCUACGGGAGGCAGCAGUAGGGAAUCUUCGGCAAUGGGGGCAACCCUGACCGAGCAACGCCGCGUGAGUGAAGAAGGUUUUCGGAUCGUAAAGCUCUGUUGUAAGUCAAGAACGAGUGUGAGAGUGGAAAGUUCACACUGUGACGGUAGCUUACCAGAAAGGGACGGCUAACUACGUGCCAGCAGCCGCGGUAAUACGUAGGUCCCGAGCGUUGUCCGGAUUUAUUGGGCGUAAAGCGAGCGCAGGCGGUUUGAUAAGUCUGAAGUUAAAGGCUGUGGCUCAACCAUAGUUCGCUUUGGAAACUGUCAAACUUGAGUGCAGAAGGGGAGAGUGGAAUUCCAUGUGUAGCGGUGAAAUGCGUAGAUAUAUGGAGGAACACCGGUGGCGAAAGCGGCUCUCUGGUCUGUAACUGACGCUGAGGCUCGAAAGCGUGGGGAGCGAACAGG
rnacentral:rRNA from 1 species